AAACACUUACGCCUGUAUUCUAAAAGCUCACUCACACUCAAAGAGUGGAGGUUCAAUCUGAGCUUCUCUUGAGUGUCAGUUUUUGAAUAGCUCGAGAGUGAGUAGUCACAUAGUAAGGUACGACACUAACCCUCCAGCUAUUCAAAAACAGCAAUGACACUCGAGAGAAGCUCAGAUUGAACUUCCACUCAUUGAGUGUGAGUGAGCUUUUAGAAUACGGG